UCUCUCUCUCUCCUUCUCUCUCCCUCUCUCUUCCUCUUCUCUUUUUCUCUCUUCUUCCCCCUCUCUCUCUCUCGGCUAUGCUCACGCCGCCGCCGCCGCCGCCGCCGCCGCUGCUGUACGCGCGGCGGCUCGCCGUCGCGGCCCUCCACCUCCCUCUCUCGAUUUCCACCGCCAUCACAUCAUCGCUGCUCCACCGCCUCAGCCGAGACCCCUCCCCCGCCGUGCGUAGCUUUCCGACAGAUUUGUCAAGAUUUUGAAUUUAUUGAAAGGCAUAAGCGUGGGGCUGCCCUCGUCGUCUCCGGGCUGCCGAAAGGCAGUCGCUGGAAUCCGGCAGAUUCGUACACAUAAGAUAAGUUUCUUUAACUAUCUAGUUCUAGCCAUUGUAGGAUUUUAGUCUCUCUAUUCGAUGGGUAUGUGUUUGGUGAAUCAUGGUGUUACUUGCUGUGUAUUGUUGACUACUGAUUUGAGCAGAUCCUACUUCCUCUUUAGAUAUGCAUAUGCGUGUUCUUAUGUGCAAGAAAGGAAAGGUUUGUUGUUUACCUUGAUGAUGGUGAGGAAAGUAAAGUGUUGGGUUGUAGUGUUUGCGUCUACAAUCGUGUGAAAUCUCCCUCCUCGGACUGCUCUAUCCACGUUGGGUUGGUGUGUGCAGAGAAUUUAGGAUUUGAUGGUGAUUUGGGAAAACAAAUAACAUCCAUAGUCUUCCAUGAUGAUGUACCGGACUUUCUUGGAGUGCAAGCACGACCAUUGAACGUCUGCGUGAACUUUUCUCUAAUUGUAAUAGAUAAGGAUUUGAUAAAUUUGUAUAAUAGUAAUUUAGCGGACUUCGGAGAUA